UAGAAGGUAGUAUAAUGGAGUGCUAGGGAUUUUGGGUCCUUAGGUAUAGGUUCGAGUCCUGUUCUUCUAG
rnacentral:tRNA from 1 species